rnacentral:rRNA from 1 species
UACGUAGGGUGCGAGCGUUGUCCGGAAUUAUUGGGCGUAAAGAGCUUGUAGGUGGCUCGUUGCGUCGGGAGUGAAAACCUGCGGCUUAACCGCAGGCCUGCUUCCGAUACGGGCGAGCUAGAGUUCGGCAGGGGAGACUGGAAUUCCUGGUGUAGCGGUGGAAUGCGCAGAUAUCAGGAGGAACACCGGUGGCGAAGGCGGGUCUCUGGGCCGAUGACUGACACUGAGAAGCGAAAGCGUGGGGAGCGAACAGGAUUAGAACCUAC